rnacentral:rRNA from 1 species
AAUCAACGCUGGCGGCGUGCCUCAGACAUGCAAGUCGAACGAUUAAAGCUCUCUUCGGAGAGUGUAUAGAGUGGCGCACGGGUGAGUAACACGUAAGUAAUCUACCCUCGAGUGGGGAAUAACGUCCGGAACGGACGCUAAUACCGCAUAAUGCAGCGGCACCGCAAGGUGACAGUUGUUAAAGGAGAAAUUCGCUUGAGGAGGAGCUUGCGGCAGAUUAGCUUGUUGGUAAGGUAACGGCUUACCAAGGCUACGAUCUGUAACCGGUCUUAGAGGACGGUCGGUCACACUGACACUGAAUAACGGGUCAGACUCCUACGGGAGGCAGCAGUCGGGAAUUUUGGGCAAUGGGCGAAAGCCUGACCCAGCAACGCCGCGUGAAGGAUGAAGUAUUUCGGUAUGUAAACUUCGAAAGAAUAGGAAGAAUAAAUGACGGUACUAUUUAUAAGGUCCGGCUAACUACGUGCCAG